CUGGCUCAGAUUGAACGCUGGCGGCAGGCUUAACACAUGCAAGUCGAGCGGGGUGAUGGUGCUUGCACUAUCACUUAGCGGCGGACGGGUGAGUAAUGCUUAGGAAUCUGCCUAUUAGUGGGGGACAACAUUUCGAAAGGAAUGCUAAUACCGCAUACGUCCUACGGGAGAAAGCAGGGGAUCUUCGGACCUUGCGCUAAUAGAUGAGCCUAAGUCGGAUUAGCUAGUUGGUGGGGUAAAGGCCUACCAAGGCGACGAUCUGUAGCGGGUCUGAGAGGAUGAUCCGCCACACUGGGACUGAGACACGGCCCAGACUCCUACGGGAGGCAGCAGUGGGGAAUAUUGGACAAUGGGCGCAAGCCUGAUCCAGCCAUGCCGCGUGUGUGAAGAAGGCCUUAUGGUUGUAAAGCACUUUAAGCGAGGAGGAGGCUACUUUAGUUAAUACCUAGAGAUAGUGGACGUUACUCGCAGAAUAG
rnacentral:rRNA from 1 species